GGCCGGCUGGGGGCCUGCCCCGGAGAUCGACACCGACGGGGGCGAAAGCGUGGCCCCACCUCUGCGCAGGGGGGUAUUUUUGGCCUCGCAUGUGCUGGGCGUUAGGUCGCUGGUAUUUUAUCCGCUGGAGAGCAGCUGCCCCUUCGCUGGGUGAGCUCGGAGGAGCCGCCUGGCCCUUGCAGCUCGGCCCUGGCGUAACGGAGCCUUCUCGCCUUGGGGGGCGGCCAUGUGAGCGGGCUGGGGCGGCCUGGCCCUCCCGUGGCUGCGCGCCGUUCAGGAGCGUGGUUCUAGCUGGUGUUGUGCUCGCAGAGGUCAGGGCAGUAUUGCUUAAUGUGGGCCCUUGAAACGGUUAAUUUGAAGGUGUAGACAGUUGCUAGGGAGGCGGGAAAUCUACCUGGAUCGUGGUAGUUCUGUGUGUAGCUUUCACGGGGUCUUGUCUUAUUUUUAAAUUUUUUUUUUGUCCAUGCUCUUAGUUUCACAGUGACACUCAGGCCUUGUCUUCACUGGGGUUUUCUUCCCUAGAAUUUACCGUCAGUGGACACUGGACGUAGUACAAAGGUGGGCGCUCUGGUACAGCAGCUCACAAUCCUGGAGGCCCCCUGGACUGCGACUCCUGGAAAGACCAGCAUGCAAUCUCAGCUGAAAAGUGUGAAUAAGUGUUCCUGUUUGAGUCAGUCUUCGUAAUCUGCAGCCAGACACUGUCUUGAGUUAGGGUUUGAAUGAAGUCAUGCAGGCAACCAGAAGGUCCAGAAAUGUGCAGAAGUGAAUUAUGGGCCGAUUAGAGGAAGGAAGAGGCAUGGGCGGGGCCUGCACCUCAACAAUUCUGCACCUUGCAAAGUCACAGAGGGACCAUUGAAGGAGGAGCUCAACUGAGAGAUGGACCAGCCCCCCAGCUAUAGAAUAAGGGUGGUGCAAACCAUCUCAUUCUGUCCCUUCCAGCACAGGAAUGAAUAUGCCUCUUUUGAACUUAUCCACCCAUCACUCUCUGCUAGCAAAACUAAUCCCUGUAUGAGCUACAGAAAUAAAUGCAGUUUUGCAAGUCGGUCUACCACCAUAAAAGAGCUUGAAAAAGAACCACGCUUUGCGCAUCAAUUGAUGCGAUCUGCCCGCAUGACUUGUAGACACGCUGGACAAAUCCCUUCUGUCACUUCAAUGUCUCUGCAUUGCUUCCAACAGUGGCUGCACUGGGCCCCUUGCCAGCUAGUAUAGAAGCUUCUCUGACCUCACUGUUUUCUCAAAUUGGAAAGAUGUUUCUGUGGCUGUCUUUGCCAGUCGUGUGCCAUCCCCUAUAGUGAACACAGAAUCUUAUUGUGCUCAGCAUCCAAUUCAAUAGUAAACCAGCAGGCUUGCUCCAUCCUGCAGAGUCAUAAAGCAAGCAACACGAUGACCUAGGUACUGUACUUCCCCAGGCCCCCAUUGCCAGAGCAAUCUGAGCCCCUCACAAAGAUGAAUCCUGGGGAGGUAGGGAAGUGUUAUGGACUCUGAUGACUGCUUACCAGCUGGAAUAUGUUCUGGGCCAGGUUCUUGAUUGCUGUGGACUAAAGAAUACACGGAUGGUGCAAGAAAGUAGAUCUGGAUGAAAGACUCCUUAGGAUGUAAAGCUGUUAGUGGUGAGUGGCAUCAUUCGAGCCUAGGACAAGGAGAACACCUGUGUCUGGAUGGAAGCCAGCAGUCAUUUAGUAGGCCUAUUUUGGGAAAGCGUCUCCUUCUGCCUUAAGUGACAUGGUUAAUGCUGCCUCCUUAAUACGUCUCGUAUGUUGUCUUUUGUUUUGUUUUUCUCCUUCCAGAUUUUGAUUAGUUUUUCCUUCAACAUGGGAGAAGAUGUCUGAUUGUGGAGGACUCUUAAAUUUGGCGGAUAGGAGCAUAACAAGGUCCAAUGGCUGGAAGUUGAAGCUGGACAAAUUCAAACUGGAAAUGACGCACUUUUUUAAGUGAGGGUAAUUAGCUAUUGGAAGAGCUUUCCAAGGGAUGUGAUGGAGACCCCAUCACUUGAAGUCUUUAAAUCAAGAUUUAAGAGACAGAUUCUCAGCUGGUGUAAAUUAUCAUAGCUCUGAAAUCAAUGGAACGAAGACAGCUUGCACCAGCUACGAAUCUGGACCUGGAUGUCUUUCUAAAAUAUGUGCUCUUGGCCAACCGCAAAUUAUUUGGCUUAAUGCCAGAAUUACUAGGUGAAAUUCUCCAGCCGUGUUAUACAGGAAAUCAGAUGAUCACAAUGGUCCCUUCUGACCUUAGAAUCUGUGGGUUGUUGCUAGGAUAAACGCUAAAAGGUGAUACUGUGCCUAGAUAGAUUAGUAUUACCAGACAUCUUCAGAGAGGAGCUAGCAGCAGUCAUUGCCUUCAUCUUAAAUUGUCAGCACCCAUCUGAAUUGUUUCUCUAACUCCUGUAAUGCUGGUAUCUGGUUUUUCAAGGUGUAUAUUUAUUCCUAUGGAAUGUGUAUUUUACAGACUUGUUUCAUUCUUGGAGCAUUCUCUGGUAUGUAAAGCUGUACCAAUUAUUUUGUAAUAUGAAUACUAAAUAAAUCUGCAUUACUGCAUCUCA